AGGACCAUCUGCUACCGGCCCCAGCCCAGAUGAUACAGUUGGAGCCUACCCACAGCAUCCUCUCCCGCCUUCAGACAGUUCCAGGAAGGAGAGUCCCGGGCUGUGUGAUAGAGACUUUAAGAGGUUCCAACAGACUGACAUAGAAUGUUCUUCAGAACCAUGGAUGCAUGGAACUGAUGGGAAGCCAGAGAGGAACGCUGUCUCCAGAAACCGAAAAAGUAGAAGAAGACCUAUUCAUUGUGGCCAAAUUGAGAAGAGGGACAGAGAGACCAAUGGCUUCUGCUUCACCAAGUCCAUCUUUCAGAUCCUCCAAUGAGGAUAAAGCUCGAAUAGAAGGCUCAAUUCACAGCUGAGAAGCAGACUGGACUAGAAGGGGCUUGGCUUAGCAGCUGACACGUGGCAUGCCAUAAACCCUGAAGUGCUGUGCAUACAAGUGUGAGCCAGCAAGAUUUUUACGUGAGUUUCGAGGUUCCAACUCAGAUUCUUGUGCUUGCGAGGCAAGAACCUUACCCACUGAGUCAUCUGCCCAGGCCAGUUCUGGUUUUCUGCACAUGAAGGUGGCUCCUUCCCUCACUUUUGUAAGUCUUUGCUAUCCCAAGAAAUGGUGAGAAGAGCUAGUCAUGUAGGUUUAGACCUGUUAAGUAGAAAUCACUGGUCAUGUGGCUGUAGCCCAGACAGAGCUUAUUGUGCUUCAAGCACGAUUCGUGUUGGCCUCGUGCCUGAUCUUCCUUUGACCAUCCUAGCCAUCAGCCCCAUCAUGGAGUAGCUCAAGGUUAAGAUAGUGAGAAGAAAAUAAAAGUGAAAAUUCCCAGUGGUUCAAGCACCCAUGGCAACAGUAACUGUAUUUGGAUAUUAUCUUAGACAGCACAGAAGGAGGGAACGUUCUAGAACAUAUUACAGAAAAGUUUACAGGGCAACGAAUGUUCUCUGGGUAUGUCUACUUUUUUUCUGACAUCCUCCUUGCCUGUGUCUAUCUAUGCCACCCACCCAGAUCUUCUAGUUCACACCUGAAACUGGGUGUGGCAGACUGGGGUUAACAAGAGAUUCUGGGGGUAGGUACCCUCAAACAACAAUCCCAAGCUCUGCACUCUGAUGCCUUUUGGAUCUCAGGCUUUGUUUUUGUUUUAAAAUGUGGACAAGCCCAGUUCCCGUAUCAGGGAACCAUGGAGAUUAGGCAAGAUGAUGCAGGUCACGUACCCAGGGACACAUCAGAAGUUCUGCCCGUCCCUCUUCCUUCACACUGUCACCUGCUGGGUGAGUUUGUAUCCCUCCAAGCAAUCUCUGUCCUGAGUCGCUCUCCCCCAGGCCUAACGGGUCCCCAGUGUGACCCUGAAGCCUCUCCUCUGGCUCCUUGUCUCGCUGCCCCCGCAUCCUUGUGUUCAGAGGUGUGUAUGUGUAUGUCUGUGUUUGUGUGUGUUGGCACUUACAGAUAUUUGUUCCCAGCAGUGAAAAAACUUGAACUCCAUCUCUCAGAUGCUAUCCACUUUUUGAAGGAGGGUUUCUCACUGCCUUGGAACUCUCCAAGUAGGCUAGCUUGGUUGACCAGUAAGCCCCAAGGAUCUGCCUACCUCUGUCUACCCAGAGUGGGGAUUAUGAACGUGAGUUAACACGUGGCUUUUCUUUGUCGUGGGCUCUGAAGAUUAAAUUCAGGUCUUACAAGUGCUUUCCUGAAUGAACAGACUCCCCAGCCCCAGAGGCAUCUUUCUGAAAAAAUUCUGAUCAUGUUUCUAUCAGGAAAUACCCAGACUGUCCCCAGCAUCUUCGGGGUAAAAAUGCAAGCUCCUAAACAAAACACAAGGGCCCAAAGAGGGUCAGUAUUGUGUUGUCCUCUUCCCUUGCCCCAGUUUCACUUGGGGAUCUAGAUAUGGGUGACUCUUACCCUGAUGUCAUCUGGUCCCAGGCUUGCCCCUCUGUACACCCCCACCGUGCCACUGGUAGCCUACCAGGCCAUUGGGCUACCUCUGCUUCUUGUUCCCGUUGCUCUGGUGCUUGUCUCUGUGAGAGCAUCAGGACUCUUGGACAGGGGCUAAUUCCUCCUCAGCCGUGCUCCCGGGUGCUCACCCACCAAGGCUGGUUUCUGGAAGGCACUAGAAGGUCUCCAGUGAAUGGGGGCGAGACUGCUGGAUUUGGUGUCAGAGGCAACAUCCACCCCUUCUCUAAACCCCACACAGCACAGCUUUCUUUACCAAAGCUAGCUGCCGACAGAGGCAGUCUGCUGCCUCAUGGAGGGGUGGUGACUCAGGGGAUAACUGUGGGCAGGGGGGCUUUCCAGCAACCUAGUUAGCUGAAACCACACAGCAGCCUUCCCAGUCUGCGGGGUGACCUACUUCUCAGUUCCUGUAGCCUCAACGCCCAGCCGACAGAAUGCUGAUGAGGGAGACCAUGCUGGCCUCUGAUGAGAAAAGGGGACGGAGAUGCCACUGAUUGAUUUGACCUUGCAGAGCGGUGGGGACAGGAUGUUCUGCUCUUUCUGAUGCUGGGAAGUGGUCUGGGUGCAGGGGACUUCCUGCUGAUCUGGACAUCCCUGGAAGCAAGCAACCUACUGAGCACUGUCAGCCCAAGGAAGGCAGAGGACCUGUGGAUCCUGAUCCCAUAGGAAAGUUGUGGAAACAGCCCAAAUAAACAUCCGUUGGCAGAAUGAUGCAUAAAGGCGGCGUGGCAUCUACAAACAAUGGAAUAUUAUUCAGCCCUCAAGAAGAAGGAAAUUCUACAGCAGAUGGUAGCAUGGCCUCACCUUUGUCCCCCACUGAGGCCCAUGAGUAAGGGAAACACUGUCCACAUGGCUACCAGUUACAGAGUUAUCUGCUUACCUUGAAUUUUCUGUAAUGAUCAUGUCUGACCUAGAAACUAUUUCAAAAUGAUUCAGCUAACAGAGAUGACUCAGCCAUGGAGAAUGAAGCCUGUGUCGUUCCAGAUCUCCUUCACAGAGACCUCAGGAGCUGGGUCCCUCGCCCUGGUGAUGCUGACUUUGGCACAGAGCAGAGGUGGGCCUCCAGGCCACCGUUGCCUGACACCUGGGACCAGAAUGAAGAUGUGGCCACAUCUUAGCCUCUGUCUCCUUUCCUGGACCAGUCAUAGGUCCAGAGGGCAUCAGGAAGAGAGAAGACUACACUGUGGAUCUAGCCGAGUCUGGCCUGGCAUCCCAUCACCGUUACAUAGCCUCUUUACCUCUGAAGACUUUGCCCCAUCCAUAAAUUUGUGACUAAUUCCAUUCCUAGAAUCCUAAAUGAGAGGUGGGGUAAGAGUUUAGGACUGCACCCGUACAGCAACCAGCCUGGAUUGGUGUGUGCAUGCAUUCCUGCAUGUCUGUGUGGAUUGUGUGGUCUCUCAUCUGAUAAAGCAUCCAAGAUGGGUUUUGGCAUGCACUUGUGAAAGCCUCGGAGGAAUCUAUGGGUUAUAUUUUACAACCUGCUCACCAUGAACCAGGAGAGGGUUAUAAAGUCCCUUGGUUCUGUGUGGACAGGACUGCAUCUGCUCUCCCUCUUCACAGAAGACAUGGAAGAGGCUGCUGGACAGUCUUCAGUGUUCUCUGAAUUCACUUUCUCCUCUGGCUCAUGUGUGGCUGUCUGCCACAGUGCAACCUGUGGAGGGCAGAGGACAACCCCAGGGUCGAUUGUUCCUUGCCCGCUACUUCACAUGAGACAGGGGCUGUUACUGUUUGUUGCAUUGCAUGCCAUGCUCAGGGGCCCAGAAGCUUCCACUAUCCCCCUACUUCCUUCCCUCAUCUCAAUGUAGACGUGAUGGGAUUAUAGAUGAAUGCUACCAUGUCUAGCUUCCUGUGGGUUCUGGGGAUUCAAGCAUAGGUUCUCAUAUUUGUCUGGCAAACACUUUACCCACCGAACCGUCUUCUCAGGCCCAAAUCUACUUUCAGUAGAUUCCAUGGACUUCAGCCUAAGUCCAUUUGAUCAGCAGAAAGGAAGUAAACAAUUACAAAAAUAAUUUCACUGCUCCCAGUAAGAGACACACGACCUUGAGGAAAAUAACGCCACCAACAUCACCGUUACAGCCAUCACCAGCAUCACCAGCAGUAUCUCCAGUGUCACUAAACAUCAUUACCACCAUCAAAACAUAAUGAUCAGGUGACAGUCAGUAGGUUCCCUUGAAGUUCCAACUUGGUGUGGUUCACAUCUUCCCUUUACCAUGGCUCUUGCUUUUGCACUCUAAAGUCCUUGGAAGCUCUCAAGUCCUCACCUUGCAGGGCCCCUUUCAAGAGACCACUGCCGUUGCUGUUAGGUGACUUGGCCAGGAAGAAGGGCAUAUGGGUGAUAGCCCCGUUCUGGCAAGGAGUGGAUGUGCCAUUGCACAGUAAUCCUGCACUGGCACCAUUGGGGCAAUGUGGGCAAGCGCGGCACCGCACAAGGCCAAGUGCAAAUUGUUUUAAAAUGCACAAAUGAGCUUGGUUCAGGUGCUGCCAAAGAAUUCUCCAUUUCAGCAGAGAGUUAUUUCGUGCACUUUUUCUCUGCGUAGCCAAUGAAAGCACAACUGUCCGUGGAGUCGUUAAGCUGUGCUUUUAAGAGAUACUGUCAAGGAGAGCAGGCCACAGAUCGAGCCUGAUUGGCUCAACUGCUUUGAGUUGCUUUUUGUCGAAGCCACAUCAAACCUGCAAUCUGCAGGCUCUCCUUCCCUUGUGAAAUUGUCACUCUGAACCCUUGGAAUUGAUUCGGUUCUGUGAGCCCUCUAGUCAUUCAAAGUGCGCACGUGUGCUUGGGGCUGUGAUGUGGCUCCUGACUUCAGGGAACCAUGUAGGAUGUAGGAUGCUGUAGGAAAACAGGUGGUAUGGGGCGUGGCUACGGUGGGGGUGAGAAAAGGAGACAUCAUGUCGUUUACCAGGAACCUCUCUGUCUGGGGAUCUGCUUCAGUGUCGGCCUGUGCAUUCUCAAGGCCUGUUCAUGGCUAUUGCAGCCCUAGCAGUCAAAAGUAGAAUGAAGGUCAUGGGGGAGCAAGGGGAGACAUUCUGAGACCCACUCGAUCUCAUUUUGUCCAAAAAACGAAGUUUUCUAUACACUCAACCCCAGAUCUUUGGUUUCUUGGUCGAAGUUGGGUGAUGUUCUUCUGCUGGCUUCCAGGGAGGCUGUGCCCAGCACUUGUGGCUUGGUCCAUGGCUGCUCUUGUCCAAAGAGGAUUCUUCUAGCAAGGAGCAAGGGAGCAGAGGUCAUCAGGUAGACAAAUGAUGCAUGCCAGGUUUGCAAAUAGUGUGGGAUGAGGGAGUGGUUUGUAACAGGUAGGCAGGUAGGAUUUUGAAUCUCUCCCGGAGGCUCAAAGAGAGGGGAUACGAACCUGGACUCCUUUCUGAUACAAAUAAAGUCAGAUCAUGCAUGCUA